GUAUCCUGGCUCAGGAUGAACGCUAGCUACAGGCUUAACACAUGCAAGUCGAGGGGCAGCAUGGUCUUAGCUUGCUAAGGCCGAUGGCGACCGGCGCACGGGUGAGUAACACGUAUCCAACCUGCCGUCUACUCGUUGGACAGCCUUCUGAAAGGAAGAUUAAUACAAGAUGGCAUCAUGAGUUCACAUGUUCACAUGAUUAAAGGUAUUCCGGUAGACGAUGGGG
rnacentral:rRNA from 1 species